CCUCGCCUGCCUCGCCUUUGGGGGUCUGAAGGAGCCCAGAUGCCCAAGGGACCCCGACUCCAUCCCCAAACCCCACUGGACCAAGCCACCGGGGAAAGGCCGUGUGCCACCCAACUCUCCGAACCGGCCCCAACACCCUUCAGGCUCUUGCUCAGACGAACUCAUCUCAUCGGGGAGAAUUUGCCCCAGAGCAAAUUCACAGCCCUGGGCAUCGCUGGGCCCCAGGGUCCCCUGCAGCCCCGUCCCUCACUGCCACGGCCCCCAUGGCCAGCAGCCUCAGCAAAUCUCAGCCGCGGCCCCGGGGGACCACGUGCCCUGCUCGGCUAACGGAGCUGCAGCGUGAAAAGCGAUCGGAGGAGAGCUCUUGGGUUACAGCUCCGAGCAGCAGCGGGGACGGGCCGGACUCUGACAGCUCCUGGCUGCUCUCCGGGCGGGUGAUAUCUGCAGAUCUUUUACAAAUAAAUAUCGUUGCUCAUUAUCUCGGCAUUAAAGUUACAUGCUGGGCGAGACGGGCACCGAGCGAGCUUUCCCUCGCUAAUCUAAAACGGAUGCCAGCCGUUCUAUUAUUAACCUCCCAGGUCACGAGCUCCCCGCCUCCGCCACCGCCUCGCGGGGGGGGACCCCGGCUGGGCUGCCACCAGCCCCCAUCCCCAGGCGAGCAGCGCCACGGCCCCUCCUCGCCUGCUCAGAUGUGAGCUCCUGGGGGGGAGUAAAACGUCCCCCGGGCAGCGCAGAGCGGGGCUGGGGCCGGGGGCUUGCCGAGCUUUGAUGUCGCUGAGCCCCUUUCGCAGCAGAGCCGAGGGGGUGGCGGCGGGGCGGGGGCGGCUCCCGGUGCUCGUGGUGCUGAGCGGAGCGUCCCCGAGGUGCUGGGUUAGGAAGG